ensembl:miRNA microRNA 152
AAGUUCUGUGAUACACUCUGACUGUGAAUCUGUGCUAGUCAGUGCAUAACAGAACUUUG